GGGCACUGAGUUCCCCGUUGUGAGGAGUAAGGACCUGGUGCCGAACGUCCCUGUGAGUUGCUGUCCUGGAGGGGGAUCCUCCAGCCCAGUCAAGCCUUCAGAAAACUGCAGCCCCAGCCCACAUUGUGACUUCAUGAGAUUCCCUCUGCCACAGUAACCAGGCAGUGCUGCCAAUAUGGCUGAUCACUAGAUAACCAAAACCCUCGGAAGAUAAAGAAUAAUAAUUUGAUUUUGUUCUUAAAGUACCAAUAGGAAAUUUUUUUUUAAGUAAAAAAGUGGGGAAAAGCAUUCUAAGCAUAGUAGAUGGUGCAUCUAAGGGCACAGGGCCCCUUCCUACUCCCGCGCUGAAAGAUCACAGUUCUGAUGGCAGUAGUGAGGACACAGCUCCUCUGGGCUGAAAAGACUUUGUGAAGUCCCCUCCUCCAUCUCCCACUCCUAGUCCCAGUUU